AGAGAGCUUAGGAUUGGAGAGAUAGAUCAAUACUGCAAAACAGAGAAGAUCUUGAAUUCCCUUGCUUUCACUUAUUAUGUUGCUUACUUUUAUUGUUUAUUUCAUUUAAGUAUUAUUCAGAUCAUCAUAACUAUGUGUUUCAUGAAUAUGUCUGAGUAGUCCUUACUGUUAAAUUUAGGUUUCUCAAUAGGUUGAUAAAUGUAUUACUGACACA
rnacentral:lncRNA from 1 species